rnacentral:rRNA from 1 species
UACGUAGGGUGCGAGCGUUGUCCGGAAUUAUUGGGCGUAAAGAGCUCGUAGGCGGUCUGUCGCGUCUGCUGUGAAAACCCGAGGCUCAACCUCGGGCCUGCAGUGGGUACGGGCAGACUAGGAGUGCGGUAGGGGAGAAUGGAAUUCCUGGUGUAAGCGGUGGAAUGCGCAGAUAUCAGGAGGAACACCGAUGGAGCGAACGGCAGUUCUCUGGGACCGUAACUGACGCUGAGGAGACGAAGCGUGGGGAGCGAACAGG